rnacentral:lncRNA from 1 species
CCGCCAUCUUUUCAAUAAAAGACAACUUCCAUUUGCAUCAGCAGCACAGAGACUGAAAAUGUAGCAGCUAAUCAAGGAUGUUGUGAGCAGCAGAAAUAAAUGAAACAAAAGAAAAUUAUGACGGGACAUGGGGUACUAAAGUAUUUAAUCAACAAACACUGAGUUGUCUAUAUACAUGAUAUAAUUAUCUUGAAAUUGUAGGAUAAAGUCGGCCACGUCUCUCAGCAAAAUUAGUUUGCAAAAUUAGUUUGCACCUAACAUUACAAAGAACACAAUUUACAGUCGUGACACUGACAUUAUUUAGUAAAUAUAAUGUAUAGAAAGGACAUUUUAAUUAUCUUUACUUAUGAAAAACAUCGGGACUCUCUCUGUGACACAAAAUGAUGUAUAAAGUUAAAAAAAUCUAUAUCAUUGAUCUUAUUGAUCUAUCCACCCCUUACUAGUUGAUGUGUGGUUAAAACCCCAUAAGUAUUAAAGGCUGAACCUUAAUCCGUUAAUAUUGUUGAAUGAGGGUAGGAAUGCCUUUUUUGUCCAGCAUUAAACUUCCCAUUUCUGCUUCUAUAAGUUUCAAAUGAGCCCAAAUUUUUCAUCAAAUCUAAUUCUAUAGCUACACAAAUGUACAUAUAAAAUUGAGAAAGGAAAUGGUGAAUAUGUCAAAGCGACAACCACCCGACCAUAGAGCAAACAACAGCCGAAGGCAACCAAUGGGUCUUCAAUGUAGCGAGAAUUCCCGCACCCGUAGGUGUCCUUCAGCUGGCCCCUAAAAUAUGCAUAAUAGUACAGUGAUAAUGGACGUCAUACUAAACUCCGAAUUAUACACAAGAAACUAAAAAUUAAAAUCAUACAAGACUAACACAGGCCAGAGGCUCCUGACUUGGGACAGGCGCAAAAUUGCGGCGGGUUAAACAUGUUUAUGAGAUCUCAACCCUCCCCUAUACCUCUAGCCAAUGUAGAAAAGUAAAGAAUAACAAUACGCCAUUAAAAUUCAGUUCAAAGAAGUCGAGUCUGAUGUCAAAAAUGUAACAAAGAAAAUAAAAAAAAAUGACAAUAAUACAUAAAUAACAACAGACUACUAGCAGUUAACUGACAUGCCAGCUCCAGACCUCAAUUAAACUGAUUGAAAGAUUAUGUCUUCAUCAUAUGAAAAUCAGGUACAAUCCCUCCCGUUAGGGGUUUAGUAUCAUACUAUCAUAAAAUUAUGAGAAGAACAUAACCCGUGUCAUGCCAACAACUGUUUUUUUAGAAAUAAAUGUGUUUAGUUCCGAUGCAAAGAUGGUCACAUAAGCAGUAAAAUAUUUAUCUUUUAUUUAACCAAAUUGAAUACAUUACAGUCAAUAGUCAUAUUGGCAUGUAUAUAUGGGGUACCCCUAGUCCAAAUAAUUAUGACAUCUUGAAAGGCUAUUAUAUUAUUUUUCUUUGACGCCUUACGCUGGAAGGCGUCAAAGCAAAUAUUUAAAAUAGCCUUCCAAGACAUCAUAAUUAUUUGGACUAGGGUACCCCAUUCAUAUGUGAGCCAAAAUUUAUUUCUGUGAAAAACGUUCCAGUGGAACUUAUAUCACAAAUAAUUUCUCCCUUGAAUUGAAUUGAAAGUACUUUUUGAGUUUUGCUAGAAAAAUUUACAAAAGAGGGACGAACGAUACCAGACGGACAGUCAAUCUCAAAUAUUGAAAAAAAUUACUGACAACACCAUGGCUAAAAAAAAACCAAACCAAACAGUCAAAUAAUAGUACACAAGACAAAACAUUGAUUAUUAAAGACUAAGCAAUACGAACUCCACCUAAAACUUGGGGUGAUCUCAGGUGCUCCGGAAGGGUAAGCAGAUCCUGCUCCACAUGUAGCACUCGUUAUGUUGCUCUAGUUAUUACUAAUCCAAUAAAUAGUCUAAUGUGAGAGGUCACAUUCAUGAAAAGGGUGAAAUGUCAAUUUUAUAAGAAACCUGAGUUACAUGUACCUGUAUAGGUAAUUUUAAUGAAACAUACAAUCUGAAAACUUCAACCCCGAUUAAUUUCAACAGGUAACAUGGUUAGAUAAAUCAUCAACAUAUUUUUUUGACCCCAAUAAAUGGUCAACAUCUCAAGAUUGAAUAUCCCAAUAAAUUGCGGCCAUUAGAUGUUGACCAUACAAGAGGGUGGACAUAAUUAAUUGUAGAACUCCUUUACAUGUAGUACUAGUAGUUACGACAUAAGGAACAUAUCCUUAUAAAACAUCUCUAUCGUAAAUGAUCAGUCUUCUCUGCUGCUAUGUCCGGCGGCUUUGUAAAAAAUUGUGCACAUCCUGUUACAAGCAUGAAAUUUGGCAUAGACCUUCCUCAACUAUUACUCUUUUAUUUCAGAUAGGGAGGCAUUUGAAAAAAAUGUCUCACUUCGGUAAAAUCCAAAAUGGCGGGACGUUAUACUUAAAUCAGCCCAAUAUCGAAGACUAGCGUGUAAAAAUGUCCUAUUAUCAUGCUACUAUCAUAAUAUUUGGUACAGACCUUUGUGUUUAACUACUUUUGGAUAAAUUAAAUAGAUUAGAUGUCUUCAGAACGCCUACUUCCGGUUAAAAUCCAAUAUGGCGGACAUUGUACUUAAAUAAGCUUAUUUUUUAGGGAGGGUAAUUGAAAUGUGUUUUAACGUAUUGCUACUAUAAUUCUAUUGUGUAUGAACCUUUCUUUGGUGCUUCUGAUGGAGACAAUGUAUAAGACAUAUGUCUUAAAAACCCUUACUUCCGGAAGUAUCCAUAAUGGCGGACAGAGAAAUAUCAGUUUUUUAUUCAAAUUUUCAACUUUCUUCAAAAUGUAAAGAAAAUGAUUUUAUUUUGUGCUGGUCAUUAAACUUUUGGCUUUAAGUUAUCCCCAAAACCACUUAUUCUAGCAUGUUGUAAAUGCUAAGAUAUAAAGUUGACACUUCCGGUAAAAAUAUGACGUAAAUUUUAAAGAUGAGUCCUCAAUCUAUUUCUUCGAUGUAGAGUUUUGGAUAGAUUGAUUUAAACAAAAUAAAAUCACUAUAGUACUAAAAAAUAUUUAAAACUACUUCUAUUUGGCCAAGAAUACAUGCUUAUUCACAAUCACCACCACAUGCACACAAGGCAGUGCACGGGAGACCCGAUUUUACACAUUAAAAAUAACCGCGGCAUCCUUUCUUACAUCCAUAAUGUACAAGCUUCUGAAAAAAUGAUGAGGUCUCAGAAAGAGUUUUUUUUUAAAGGGACCCUCUUUGUCCCUUCGCAAUCCAUUAGUGACAAGACUAGGUAGCAUAAGAGUCAAUCCAAAGCUCGUCUCACUAAACACCUGCAUUAGUAUAUUACACGUUUUACAUGCUUGAAAAGACUAGAACAAGUCGUGGGAAUAGCCUCACUUAAAAUGAGAUUUCCCUUUUGUGCAAAAAUUGACUUUCUUGGUUCGUUAAUCAUGUUAGAUCUGAUAAGUUUGUACAGUACAACCCCGGUGAUUUAGGCUGAUCAAUCAUCAUUCUUUAUGUUAAAGUCACAUCUUCAAAUACCAUUAAUGUCUCCCACGCAGUCUUUUUUUUUCCUUUUCAAGCAAAGAGAGAACAGUAUCACAACCCGUCAUAAGGUAUUGGUCAGAAAUAAAAGUGUGUGAUCACUCAUUGCCUAGUGCAUUUGAAAGGCCAUUGAUAGAUAUUAAUCCAAAGAUUUUUGCCUCCCCAAAUACAAUCAAUAGUUCGUCUGCCCCUUUGUUACGGAAUAGCGAAAUACUGGUAGUUUUAAAGCUGCUAAAAGAAGCAAGGGCAACAUUUAGGGGAAAGGGAAUACACAGACGAACCCAGGAUUAAAAACAUCCUCAAAGAUGGGAAAGUUUUCUGAGAGAUGACGACAGUAAGAAAGAACUUUUAAGUUUUCAUUCACAGGAGCUUGCUCAAUACAAUUUUGAGUACAAGGUAGUUGAAGCAACAAAUGCUCAGGAUGUUUAGUGUUAUCCACCACUUGAUGAUGUUUCAAGUUUAGCACCAUGUUUACACGAAGAGACUGACACUAGAAUCAAGAUAGAUGUGUCUGAUGCAGUGAAACAUAGACUUAACUGAGUCAUGACUCAAACAGUCGAUACUGAUGUCAUUGCUGUUUCGCUAUUCCGUGACAUAGGGCAGACAAACUUUGGUUUGCAUUUAGAAGGGGAAAAGUAUAAGAUAUAUAUCAAUCAAUGACCUUUCAAAUGCACUAGGCAUUAAAAGAUAACACGUUCGCUGGAAAAGGAACUGCGUUGGUGACAUUAAUGGAGUUUGAAGAUGUGACUAUAGCAUUUAGAAUGAUGAUUGACCAGCCAACAUCACCAUAUGGAUUUGAUGUUUAAUGUCAUUGAAAACGAUACGUGGUUUUGUUGGAAGAUAAAAAAAAAAAGAAACAGAUUAGGUUAACAAGGCAAGAAAAUAUGUGUUUUUGCAGAAUUUAUUAAGAUGUGAGAAACAAUACCACAGUCUUUGUAAAUGUUGGAAAUCAGCUCUCCGAUUGUGAAUUGCGGCCUACUGAGUAUGCUGAUUGGGUAUUAUGUCCUUACCUAAAUAAAAUACCUUGAAACUGAAAUACGAGUGGAUGAAGUCUUGGAUGCGUAUGGUAGUUAUAGCAACAAAUGGUCAGGAUAUUCUAUCUUAUCCACCACGUAAUGUAUUUCAAGUUCAGCACCAAGUUCACAUUUAGAGGCAGACACUAAAAUCAUGGUGCAUGUGUCUGAUGCAGUGAAACACGCACUUAAACGAGUCAUGAUUCGAACAGUCGUUAAUGAUGAUGUUGUCAAUACUGUUUCGCUAUUCCGUGACAUAGGGGUAGACGUUGUGUUUGGGAGGGCAAAAGACUUUGGAUUAAUAUCUAUCAAUGGCCUUUCAAAUGCACUAGGCAAUGAGUGAUCUGGGUGAUCUGAAACACUUAUUGUUAUCCAUGUCUUUACCUGUUGUGAUAUGGUUCUCUCUUUGCUUGAAAGGGGGGAAAAGACUAUGUGGGAGACAUUGAUUGCAUUUGAAGAUGUGACUUUAACAAAAAGAAUGAUGAUUAAUCAGACUAAAUCACCGGGGUUUUACUGUAAGAUCGCACAAACUUAGCAGAUGGGUAUAACAUGGUUAACGAAGCAAGAAAAUAACUAUUUGCGCAACAGGGACGGCUUUUCGAGGCUAUUCCCUCAACUUGGUCUAGUCUUUUCCAGCAUGUAAAUAAUGCAAUAUACUUAGGCAGGUGUUUAGGGAGACGAGCUUGGGAUUGGCUCUUAUGCUACCCACUCCAGGCGGGGACAAAGAGGAUAACUUUUGAAAAACUCUUUUUGAGGCCUCAUCAUUUUGUCAAAAGCUUAUACAUUGUGGAUGUAAGAAAGGAUUCCGCGGUCAUUUUUAAUGUGGAAAAUCGGGUAUCCCGUGCACUGCGAUGUGUGCAUGUCAUGGUGACUGUGAAUAAAACAUGUAUUCUUGGCCAAAUAGUAAUAAUUUUAAAUAAUUUUUAGUACUAUAGUGAUUUUAUUUUGUUUUAAUCAAUCUAUCCAAAACUCUAAAUCGAAGAAAUAGAUUGAGGACUCAUCUUUGAAAUUUACGUCAUAUUUUUAACCGGAAGUGUCAACUUUAUAUCUAAAUAUUUACAACAUGCUAGAAUAAGUGGUUUUGAGGAUAACUUUAAGCCAAAAGUUUAAUGACCAGCACAAAAUAAAAUCAUUUCUUUACAUAUUGAAAAAAAAAUGAAAAUUUGAAUAAAAAAUUGAUAUUUCUCUGUCCGCCAUUUUGGAUAUACCCGGAAGAAAGGGUUUUUAAGACAUAUGUCUUAUGCAUUGUAUCCAUCAGAAACACCAAAGAAAGGUUCAUACACAAGUUAAUGAUAGUAGCAAUACGUUAAAACACAUUUCAGUUACCCUCCCUAAAAAAUAAGCUUAUUUAAGUACAAUGUCAGCCAUAUUGGAUUUUAACCGGAAGUGGGGUUUCUGAAGACAUCUAAUCUAUUUAAUUUAUCCAAAAGUAGUAAAAAACAAAGGUCUGUACCAAAUAUUAUGAUAGUAGCAUGAUAAUAACACAUUUUUACACGCUAGCCUUCGAUAUUGGGCUGAUUUAAGUAUGACGUCCGCCAUUUUGGAUUUUACCGGAAGUGAGACAUUUUUUUCAAAUGCCUCCCUAUCUGAAAUAAAAGAGUAAACGUUGAGGAAGGUCUAUGCCAAAUUUCAUGCUUGUAACAGGAUGUGCACAAUUCGUCUGAAAUAUGCUUGUAGCCGCCGACUACUAGUCUUAUACAUGUACUCUAAUUUUCCUUUAAACAUAAUUCAGAAAUUUGAAUGAAAUAUUAGAUUAGGUAAAGGGUAUUACUGUACUACAUAUAAUUUGUAAUGAGAUCAAAUGUUAAUCCUGUAAUCCUGUUAAUCCUUGAUAUUUAAUCUUAAAGGCUAUGAAUAAAAAAAAAUGUUUAAAUUGUGACAACAGCCUACCAUGCUGAAAUAUGGAUAAGGAUAUUUAAUGGCCAAUAUGUAUCCAAAAAAUAAAACUAUUAUUUUUGUACAAAUCAAUAAUUCAAAAAACAGAUAUUUUAUACAGCAACAAAGAAUCACAGAUAUACAGGCUCUUGACUUGGGGACAUGCACAUACAGAAGUGGUGGGAUUUAAACAAGUUUGUCAUGGCCAAACCUUCCCUCUAAUCUGGUAUAGUGGUGUACCAAUAUAACAUAAGAACAACCUUUAAAAAUAUGUUCAUGUAACAUGUAUAAUUUUUUAACUUGGCCUUUUUCAAUGCAUAUCCAAAUUCAUUGCUUGUUCUGUCUGUAAUGUUUAAAAGUUUUAACCUUAAAUAGGUCACAAUAUAUAUUAACAUUUACAUAUAUUAUUUCUGUCGACAGAUUGGAUGUUGGUCUAGUUUCGGAGCUACAGAUGUUUUUUCCUAAACAUGGAGUAUUUAUUCUGUGAAGGCUGAAGUU